UACGGGGGGGGCAAGCGUUGUUCGAAAUUACUGGGCGUAAAGGGCUCGUAGGCGGCCAACUAAGUCAGACGUGAAAUCCCUCGGCUUAACCGGGGAACUGCGUCUGAUACUGGAUGGCUUGAGGUUGGGAGAGGGAUGCGGAAUUCCAGGUGUAGCGGUGAAAUGCGUAGAUAUCUGGAGGAACACCGGUGGCGAAGGCGGCAUCCUGGACCGACACUGACGCUGAGGAGCGAAAGCCAGGGGAGCAAACGGG
rnacentral:rRNA from 1 species